UACGUAGGGACCAAGCGUUGUUCGGAUUUACUGGGCGUAAAGGGCGCGUAGGCGGCUUGUCAAGUCACUUGUGAAAUCUCUGGGCUUAACCCAGAACGGCCAAGUGAAACUGACAUGCUAGAGUGCAGAAGGGGCAAUCGGAAUUCUUGGUGUAGCGGUGAAAUGCGUAGAUAUCAAGAGGAACACCUGAGGUGAAGACGGGUUGCUGGGCUGACACGUGACGCUGAUGCGCGAAAGCCAGGGGAGCAAACGGG
rnacentral:rRNA from 1 species